GUGCCCUGCCUCCUCACAUAAGAGGCGGAGGGGAAUCCAUGUGUGCACAUCCAGGACACGGGAAACGGAAUCCCUCAGGCAUGGCAGGAAUGACCACUAUGAGAGGAAGCGCCCGUCCCUGCCAGCACACACCAGCAGACCCAUUCAGCAAAGAACAGAUGUAACAGGGUCACCAAGGCAAGACUCAUCUCUCACCAAAGGAAAUCAGAGCAAGGAAGAAGCAGCAGUGUUCACUGGAGACACCUUCCAGUCUAGGAAGACCUAAGCACACCCACACUUCGUCCACCAAGCCCAAAGGAUCAGACAGUUAUUUCAUGAAAAGCCAUUACCAGAGCCUGAGAUUGCAGUGUGCAUCUGAUUGUUCCAAAAGCACCGCUGUGAUUCGGGGCCCAGCAUGCACUUGAGAGUAACAAGUCUUACUAGAAAAAUAGCAGCCACCCCCAGCUUAAUUCCUAGAGGAAAUCAAACCAUCUUGUUAAGAAAAUUCCCAGAGGAGAAAUUAUAUUAAGCAGCACCUCACCAUGCUGCUUGCCAGCCAUGAACCCUCUAGAAGGCAAGCCCAGCCUUGGGAAAGCAGUGAGUCCCACCAGGGCCCUGGCUGGCGGCUGGGGAAGAGGCACUUGCCCCUGACCGGCAGUGCAAUCCUCAGACAUGAGCACUCACUCCUUGCACUGGCAAGGCCUGGUCAGGGAAAUCAUUGCCACAGACCGAUUCUUCCUCUGUCCCUUUGCACUGCGGACUGUCUGCGUGACUGCCACCACCAUCAGCGCCAAAGAACAGGUCCUCCUCCAUGGAAGGUUUCCCUUAGUCCCACAGGAGGCUCUGGGAGUGGGGGCUUCAGACAAUGCACAGGGCCUCUUUCUCUCUCUGAGGCAGCUCGUUUUCCUAAAUGCCCCACUCCCAGCAAGUCAGAGUCCACAGCAACAGCCAAUAUGUGUGCAGUGCACAGGCACUUUUACACCCUUCAUCAUUAUUUAUGAACUAACUUCAAGGCGACGUCAUGUCCAUCGAGGAAACCUGACAUAUGCUCUUCCGUACCCACACAUGCAUGAAGAUAACGACCUUCUUAUUAUUCUGGACAGCAGGAAACAGUAUCUUCAGAUGUCAAUAUGGGCGGUACCACUCCCUUUACAGUGGAUCAGAGAAAAGCCAGAGCUGAAGGCUCCAUUCCCAAGCCACUCACCAGUCCCCAAACAUGCUGGCCUCUCUCGUGCCUCUUGGCCAGUGCUGUCCCCGUGGGCAGGAGUGGCCCACUGCAUCCACUCCCACAGCUCCUUCACCACUGGAUCGGGCCCAGGUUAAGCAGCCCAGCUCUUCUUCUUCUGAAUGGUACCUUAAUGUCUCCAUCCCCCCACUAUGGGAGGGCUCUGGGACAAGGGACCAUUCCCUGUUCAGAUCUGAAUACAUGGCCCAAGUACGUGCCCCUAGCAAGACACAAGUCAAGGCAAAGAAAAGGACAAAAGCCAAGACCCUCGAGCACAGCGUAUCUCCAGUACAGACUUCCCCUAUUCUAAAUUAAAGUUGACUUCUGAAAGUUCUUCCGCAGAGCCCCACUGGCCGCUCUAAUGAUGAGGAGGAUGGCCACUGCGCAGAUCAUGGAGGAGAGGAGCAGCAGGCGAGAGGCGCUGUGAAGCUGGCGGCCGCAGGAACCUCAGCGAAUCGCUUUGAGGAUAAAGGUUACGGCUCAGGGCCUGGCACAUGACCUGCACUCGCUAAAUGUUGUCCAUUAUUGGGCAACUGUAACUUUCUAGAGUGAAAUAAAAGCUGAUCACUUUGCCUCCACCCGGCCCCACACCCAGACUCUACACCCCAACUGCUGUCGCUGGAACUGGAGACCCAGCUACCUUCCACCUUACCAGGCCUUCGCCUCUGCUUCACCUGCUCUGCAGCACUCACGAGGUCACCUUGGAAUCCGGAGACUUCCUCACAGUUUCAGCCCUGGGAGAAAGGGACGCCAACAGCCCCCAGCUCCUAAGGCUUCUGUGUGGGGAAACAGGCAGGGGGAACAUAAGUGCUAAGACUGACACCGGCCCAUCCAGGCCCUCUGGAAAUGUGAGAUCCUGUCCCCAAGGCCAGCGUUAGUGCCAGCGUUGGUCUGAAUCUCCAUCGUAACUGCUCACACUUCUCUUAGAUUCCAAGAUCAAGUCUAAAUCGAAGCACAAUUAGAGACGUGUUUGCAACACUUUAAAAACUACUCGCUGCAGUGUGACACACACAGUCCAAAUCAUACCUCACUGGUCAUCAUUCACUACUUUUAAUGACAAUAAUGCAUAUGGAUGUAUCAACUCAACCAUGGACCGUGUUUAUUCCAGACCCCAGCUACCUAUAGAUCUUUUUAUCCCAGCUCCAGAGAGAAGAGAAAAACAGAGACAGGACAGGAGAAAACAGAAGAUAAGAGAACUAGAAGUCCUCAUCCUUGCUCUGACGCUGAAGAAAAGAAUCCAAUAGUUGGAAGAGCAGCAACGGGAAAUCAUUGUUUAAGUGGCUGAGAGUUUCUAACUGGACAAUGACAGGUUUUCAGGGUCAGUGGUAGGGUGGUUAUGUAACACUGUGUAUGGAGUUAGUGCCACUGAACUGUACCCUUAAAAUGAUUCAAAUGUUGUCUUUUUCUCAUUGCUGAGACAAAGUACCUGACACCCAAUCACAGGCAAGGGCCUGUGCAAGUCCCAUUUUAGAGGCAUCUGCUAUUCUCUGCCACUCUGCCCCUCUAAGGGACA